ACUGAUACAAUACCCGAGCUAACAAGACAAGAAUCAGGGUUGAUAUCGAGUAUGAGAACAUUGUUGUCAAAGAAACAUUUGCUCAAUUCCAAGGCAAAAUGGAUAUCUUACUUUGAUCGCACCUGAUAUCCAAUGUGUUCUAAUUGUAUAUAUUUGAUUUGAUCAAUUUCACUUAUUAACAACAAAAUAGAUAUAACUAACGCCAAAAUAUUUAUUUUCUCUUACU
rnacentral:lncRNA from 1 species